CUUACUUUGUAGUUUAGGUCUAUUAAAUCUUAAAAAUCAUGUUUUUCAUUUUUUUAUUAUAUCGGCCUUGCCUACAUACCAGUCUGCUACGAUAAGCGCUUAUAAUGAAGAUGGACUUACCAAAGUUUCCAAGGUUCAUGGCUUUAAAUGUUGGUUAAACAGCCUGUUUCUUUUCUAAAUAGGUUUAGAAUGAGCAGUAGUGUUUGGCUACUUAAGAUUAUUUAAUGCUAGCACUAACUUGCUAGCAUAACUUGCACUUUGCAUUGUGCUUAUAACAAAACAUAUACAUUAUGUAAACGCACUGACCCAAAAGUGCCCUUAAAACUUCCCUGCCUUCUCCACCCUCUUGUGAAAUCCCACUCGUGCUGUAAUUAUUGGAUAUGCAAAGCUGAGCAGAUAAGGCUCGGAGUCGUUGUUUAAUGCAAUUACAGAAGGCCUUUAAUAGAGGUAAUGGGAGGCUGAUUGGGGAGCUUUGUUAGACUGUGGGGUGUUGGUGUGAUGACCUGUGAUUAUCCAGGCUGUGUGUUGACUGGAAGGAGACCCCCUACCCAGCAGCAGCCAGGGAAGCCCACCACAUCAUUACAGUGAGUUGUUUUGUCAUGGAGGUAGAGCUAAACCCUCAUUAGAGCCAGUUGUUCUCACAACUGCCUUUCCUCCCUUUCUCUUUCUCUCUCUUUUGUUUUUGAACUGUGAGUACAGUCCUUAGCCAAUCACCACCACACACAUCAACACACAUGCUCUUACUACACUAAUAAUCACCUGUAACAACAAAAGAUAGAUGGUAAGCACACAUACUUUUGGGAAGCCUAAACUAACCUGUCCAUUAUUGUAUGCGCACACAUUGAGACAGUUUUUUUUAUUAAUACAGGUUUUGAUUCGAUUUUUAGAGUGAAUGACUUAUAUUGUGUUAUAUUUUAUUUUGUGUGAGUUAGUUUUGUCUCAACCGUACGGAUGGCCCAGGACCUGUGUGAGAGUAUUUACGGAGCUGUCAUGGAGCUGUCACUUACCCAGUCUGGCGAAUGCUGCAUUGAUCAUAUAUGCAACCGCUGCUGCAGCCAAGAGGCCCAGCCAUGCAUGCAGAAUCCCACCUGCCAUUUGUAAAGGAGGGCGUGUGUGUUUAUGUGCAUGCAUGUAAAACUGGAUGCUGUGCAUGUGUGAACUGGAUCAAAAUGCCUUCCUGAUUCAGGGAUACUGAGGUGUGUGCGCCGCUCCCUGCAUCUCCAUCUGUCUUACGAAGACGACUGCUGUGUGAUGAUAUAUCGGCUGUUGGAUUCUGCACGUAUGUGUCUGUAUAUGCGCACGAAGAAGCGAACGAAUGGAUCUUGAUUACAUUUGCAAGGCAUGAGCUGAAGUGAAGGUCUGAAUGAGAUGCUCGGUGCUCAGCGUUAAUGGCAUAGGAGCCUGAUGAUUCUCUGAAUGCAAGAGAAGCAUUUUCUUUUAUGUCAGUUGAUGGACUGGAGUCAUGUAUACCAG